GGGUUAAGUCCCGCAACGAGCCGCAACCCCUACUGCCAGUUACUAACAGGUARCGCUGAGGACUCUGGCGGAACUGCCGGUGACAAACCGGAGGAAGGUGGGGAUGACGUCAAGUCAUCAUGGCCCUUAUGUCCAGGGCUACACACGCGCUACAAUGGGCGGGACAAAGCGRMGCGAAGCCGCGAGGCAUGAGCGAAGCGCARAAAGCCGCCCGUAGUUCGGAUUGAAGUCUGAAACCCGACUUCAUGAAGUUGGAAUCGCUAGUAAUCGYRCAUCAGCAUGGCRCGGUGAAUACGUUCCCGGGCCUUGUACACACCGCCCGUCACACCAUCCGAGUUGGAGGUACCCGAAGCCGGCAGUCUAACCKYAGGGGGGACGCUGUCGAAGGUACGUUUAGUGAGGAGGGUGAAGUCGUAACAAGGUAGCCGUACUGGAAAGUGCGGCUGGAUCACCUCCUUUCU
rnacentral:rRNA from 1 species